AGUCAAAACUAACUUAAGUGCUGAGGCGUGCCACUGCCAUCUCAGUAUGGCAAAUGUAAAAUGAUUAGAUUUAAGCCGAUUACUUGCGCCCCAAGUUACUCUAACUUCUCAUUAUCAAAGGAUUGUUAGAUGGGUUAAGUCCACAUUAGAUUCUUUUCUAUGCCUUGAAAUCAAGGACUUAUAUAUAUUUUGUAUGGUAAAGGGGCAGAGGUCCGGAUCCAAUCAAGGCAUUAAGUGGAUUCACUCUUAAAAUAGUAAAAUCAUUUAAUUAAAACCAGAUCUGAGAGUAAGCUGAACUUUGGAUCAUUAAAAAACCUAAAAUGAUUUGAAUACAUACUAGGGAAUUCAUUACAACACCAGAUUAUUAACUAAAAGACAAAAACAAAGGGAAUCGAGCAAGAUUGAACCUUGUCGGGCAAGGAUGGACCUUUUGCCGUUUCUUUUCUUUGCCACUACAUGGAUCUGAGGGUUUUAAGGGAGAAUGGAUGACAAAUAAAGUUACACAAGAAAAUUGAUAUUACUGGUGAGUAGCAGAGCUAUUAAACUAGACAAAAUAUGGCUUUUGUGAGGGCUGAUCCUGAAAAGGAUUGAGGUUGGGGGCUGACUACAACUUUGUAUGCAAAUCUAGCUUGAGCAGAGUUUAUGUAUUUGUUUGUUUAAUUGGUUGAGUGUCCUUAUCUCUGGGCCCUCUUCCCCUUUUUAUAGGCGAAUUAGCCUAUUUGUUUACAGCUUGGUUCUUGCCUGAAAGCAACUGAGGGGUAGUGACUCAUCAGCAAUUUACGUACUCUGCCAUCUAGAAAGUGCUUUUGGGCUGAGAGUAGGUUGAUUUCCAUUAAGUGUCACUUUUUUCAAGCCACUAGCCUUUGCAUUUAAUGUGGAAUCAUCAUUUUGCCUUGGGCUAGGUGAAUGGGUUUGAUGCUAGGCCUUUGGGCAGAGUCAUGCCUCCUAGACUUCUUUUUCGGGCUUUUCCUUCAGCCCAAAGUUCAAAUAUUAACCCAAACAGAGCCAUUGAUUUAUCCUGAAGAUACUUAAGUUGAUAAUAUUGUGAAGGAACCGUUGCAGAAAGUUGUCAUAUUGUGUUAUACUGUCCAGCAUGGUAUAAGCAUAUCUUCAAUAACUGAUCCAUUUUGUCCUCACAAUUUUCCCUACGAGUCAUUACUGCACGUCAAUUUGUUGAUAACACCAAGAUUUCAUGUAAUCGAAAGUUCACUAUGGCUCAACAAAACAAAAUGCCUCUUAUCUAUCCUGCAAGUCAAGGUUCUGCUAAUCAUGAAGUUCUAGCAAAACCAAACACCAUGAAAUUCUACAUGAAGAUAAUAACGAACUGAACAUAGUUAGUCACGAUGGGAAAGGCUUUGCCAGGAUGAAAGAUAAUAACGAACCAAACACCAUGAAAUACUACAUGAAGAUAAUAACGAACUGAACAUAGUUAAUCAUGUACGCUUAAAUUAGAUGGUACAUUUUCUCAAUCAAGAUGGGAAAGGCUUUGCCAGGAGGCUCGAUAUUUUCUUUUCCUAGAGGAUUCCCAGCUGAACAAAUUCCAAAUACCAAUUUGAUAAACCCAACAAAGAAAAUUAACCAACUAAAUGAAAAUACAACAGAUUAAUGCUUGUGGAGCCAAAAAUAUUCACUAGGCAACACGUGAAUUUUUGGACAAAAGAGGACAAAAAUACCCUUGAGGCAUAACGGGUUUCCUACGCGUGAGCAGCGAUCAAUCGUCCCUCAACAAAGUCAAAAGUGUCCAAAAUAGGUAACAAUUUAAAACCUAUUUCAUCAAAUCCCAUCCACAAGGUAAUUCCCAAAACCUAUCUCAUUCCAUAUAUUUUCUACUUCAUUAUUAAUCAAUUAGUUAAAUAAUUUAUUCAUUCCAUAACUCCUAAAACAUUCCUUCUAAAAUCAUGAUAAUUAUCUAAUUAAUGGGUUAAUUGCCUAAUUAAUCCCUUAAUUAUCAAUUAAGUAAUCCAUUUUACCCAAAACACACAAUAAGGCCGGUCAUCCUUCACCCCCAAAGAAAUCAACCAUGCCUUUUACCUUUUCUACCACAUCUUUCCUUUUUAUGAUAAUAAUUAGCUAAGUUAAUUAAGGAAUUAUUUUGAUUAAUUAACUAAUUAUUUCAUAACUCUCAAUUUGAAACAAAUCAAGGAUCUUGCCCACAAACAAAGCUAGGUGGCCGGUCCUUUCUCACCCAAGGAGGCUGGCCACUCUCCUAUAAAAAGCCUCACAUUUUCUCUAAAAGGGAGCUCUCACACUCUUGCUAAAAUUCUCCAAAAUUCUCAAACACUUUCUCUCUAAAUUCUACCUUUGGCAUCGGAGGCACUUCGGCCAAAACCCCCCCAUUCAUCGUGGGCGCGUGAGGCUCUUAGCCUUGACCUAAGGUGUUAAUUGUUUUGUAGGUGCAAUUUUGUCCAAGAUCAAGGAGGAAGAAAUUUGCAUCCACAAAUUGGUGCUUUCAUUGAGAGCCGAGAUCCAUACUCGUAGAAGACUCUCGCAUAAAAAUGUUUUUCUCUAUUUUCUAGUCCAUUUGAAUAUUUUUCAUACGUUCUUAUUAUUAGAAUUUUUUAUUUGCAAAGGUUCUUUGAUAAAACAUAUAAGAAAAAUAUAAUGGCUGGAAAUUUAGAAAAUUCCACAAGUAAAAAUUCCAAUACUCAAGAAAUGGGAUCGCGGAGAUCCACGAGGCAAAACCAAUACGAGGUUCCACCAUGGCUCAAGCCGUGCCAUCCAAGCUUGCACGGGCCCGAGCCCAAGCCUCGCAUUCGCAUGCACCACUCACUGAGCAGCCUGCUCCCUUAGCACAGCCUGAUCUCAUGGCUUCCCAAGCAGCCUAAGUCGACCCGAGACUAUCCUAACCAUCCGAACCAAUCAUCGAGCCAAGGGCAUUUUCACCACAUUUCUUCGCAGAUUUGACAUUCCCAAACUCAAAUCUCGCGCCCGGAGUCUACCACCCUUCUAUUGUUCAAGGAGGUGCAUUCCAUCCAAGUUCUUCCAAUCCAAAUGGCGAACAAAACUUGUCCCGACAAGUCAUAGAAUUGACGAGCGCCCUUGCACAACAGAUGACCUGGGUAAAUCAACUUUUGCAACGCAC
rnacentral:lncRNA from 1 species